rnacentral:rRNA from 1 species
UACGUAGGGUGCGAGCGUUAAUCGGAAUUACUGGGCGUAAAGCGUGCGCAGGCGGUUUUGUAAGCCAGAUGUGAAAUCCCCGGGCUUAACCUGGGAAUGGCAUUUGGGACUGCAAGGCUUGAGUGCGGCAGAGGAGACUGGAAUUCCUGGUGUAGCAGUGAAAUGCGUAGAUAUCAGGAGGAAUACCGAUGGCGAAGGCAGGUCUCUGGGCUGACACUGGCGCUCAUGCACGAAAGCGUGGGGAGCAAACAGG